AUUGAACGCUGGCGGUAUGCCUAACACAUGCAAGUCGAACGAGGUAGCAAUACCUAGUGGCGGACGGGUGAGGAAUACGUAGGGAUCUGCCCUUAAGUGGGGGAUAACCCGGGGAAACCCGGAUUAAUACCGCAUGAUCUCGCAAGAGCAAAGAGGGGGACCGCAAGGCCUCUCGCUUUUUGGAGGAACCUACGUCGGAUUAGCUAGUUGGUGAGGUAAUGGCUCACCAAGGCGACGAUCCGUAACUGGUCUGAGAGGAUGAUCAGUCACACCGGAACUGAGACACGGUCCGGACUCCUACGGGAGGCAGCAGUGGGGAAUAUUGGACAAUGGGCGAAAGCCUGAUCCAGCAAUACCGCGUGUGUGAAGAAGGCCUUCGGGUUGU
rnacentral:rRNA from 1 species